rnacentral:rRNA from 1 species
UACGAAGGGGCUAGCGUUGCUCGGAAUGACUGGGCGUAAAGGGCGCGUAGGCGGCGUGACAAGUCACUUGUGAAAUCUCCGGGCUUAACUCGGAACGGUCAAGUGAUACUGUCGGACUAGAGUACAGAAGGGGCAACUGGAAUUCUCGGUGUAGCGGUGAAAUGCGUAGAUAUCGAGAGGAACACCUGCGGCGAAGGCGGGGUUGCUGGGGCUGAUACUG